GGCAGGAUAGCCGAGUGGUUUGGACGCCAGAUUCGGGCCUUGGUGAACCGGCUCACGUGGGUUCGAACCUACUUCUGCCG